rnacentral:rRNA from 1 species
UACGAAGGUGGCAAGCGUUGUUCGGAUUUACUGGGCGUACAGGGAGCGUAGGCGGUUGGGGUAAGCCCUCCGUGAAAUCUCCGGGCCUAACCCGGAAAGGGCGGAGGGGACUGCUCGGCUAGAGGAUGGGAGAGGAGCGCGGAAUUCCCGGUGUAGCGGUGAAAUGCGUAGAGAUCGGGAGGAAGGCCGGUGGCGAAGGCGGCAUCCUGGACCGACACUGACGCUGAGGCGCGAAAGCUAGGGGUAGCAAACGGG